ensembl:lincRNA
CCUCCGCUCCUGCUCCAGCGGCACGAUGUGAUCCACCAGCUAGGAGGGACACCAGUAAGGUGUCCAAUAAGAUAAGUCUUAUAAAAUAUAUAGAUGUAUGAUAAUUGAGACUGAGCUAACAGAUGAGAAUCUAGUCAUUGGCCAAGCAGCAUUGUAACCAAUACAAGUCUCUCUGUAUUCAUUUGGGCCUAACUCGGGCAGGCGGCUGGCGUAAAGCAUACACGUGGCGGUGGGGCUCAGCGGCUUAUGGCGGAAAGAUUUAUCGUAACAAGCAUCAUGUUUACAGAAGACAAAGGCAUCUGCACAACCAUAUGCAGACUUUAAAAUGAGGAGUGAAUUUAGGAUAGAGAGGCCAGCAGGAUCAGAGCAGGAAGCCUAAUGCUUGUUUAGUUGUUUGAGGAGUUGACCAGAAUUCUUGUUCUAAAGAAAAAAAAAUCUUCACAUUUUGACAAUCAAAAGACCAGUUGAAGUAUUAUUUUUUUCAAAUGAAAUUUAAAUUCUAGCUAGAAUAAAGGAGUUAAACCUGUGCUUUGUCUAUUUUCUGGUCACAUCUAUAAGAAUUAUGCUUGCCACCAUGACCCACUGAGGACAUGUAUGCAUCUGGUAUAGAUCAUUCAGCCUAUCUGAUGUUGGCACUUUUAAUGCCCCCCAAAUUCAUUUCACGACCCCAGAUUGGUCACAAGUCAUAGUUUAAAAUAACAACAACAACAACAACAACACCCAUUUAAAUGUCUACAGUAUCAAUCUAGAUAGAGACAAAAACAAAAAUUGUCUCAUAGUACAUUUCUCCUGUGUAUAAUUUAAUGCUUGUUUUGAUCUUCUGUCUGUAGCUGUGCAUGACUUUGAGCUGGUACAGGAGGAAGCAGAAUCAAGUGGAGAAACAAGCAUGGCUUAGUCAACCGCUUAGAGGUCUGUCACUGGCACCAGCGCCCAAAGAACCAAACCAGGCAAGAGUCUGCAGAUUAAGAAGGACACAACUGGGGUCAUUCGGUAGAAACGAAUGCCAUCGGUUUAUUGCAGCCAGCAGCUUAUAUACAAGAGGAGAUGGGAAAACAUCACCUGCUAGCAGAACGCACUGCCAUGCCCUAUCAUAAACAAGGAAAUCAUAACCCCUGCCCUCGGCCAAUGAAGCAAGACGGGGAUGGGGGCAAGGCACAAUGUUUCAAUAACAAGAAAGGUUCAUAACAAGAUGUUAGUGGGCGAGGCUUAGAAAAACAGGAGGUACCUGUGGUUAUGCUGGAAAACAGCUCACAGAGACACUGUGGGGGCUGGUCCCAACACAGGUCUUUGCAGCUGAGGUAAGAUGGAGGGCCAUCUUGGCACUAACUGCAUUCUGGGAGACCCCCAGAGUGUGUCAGUUGGGGUUCCCAGCAAGAUGAAUAUGGCAUCUUCAAACUGAGAGAUUUAAGGAAAGUUCCAGAAAUAAGCUACUACAUACAGUAGCAGGAAUAACUUGGGAAUGUAGGAAUAAUUCUACAGUUCUUUCAGGGAUCAUGAGAGCAGAGAGCCAUUAGAUUUUAGGCCUGGAAAAUGCAGUCUUUCCAGCACUAUGGAGAAAAGGCCAGUGAAGCAGGAGCUGUGACCCUCAGUGGAGAGGCCUCACACCCUGACAAGAGACUUAUAGUCUCUAACUGCAUUUUCUG